rnacentral:rRNA from 1 species
CAGUCGCCGCGGGAAUACGAAGGGUGCAAGCGUUACUCGGAAUUACUGGGCGUAAAGCGUGCGUAGGUGGUGGUUUAAGUCCGUUGUGAAAGCCCUGGGCUCAACCUGGGAAUUGCAGUGGAUACUGGGUCACUAGAGUGUGGUAGAGGAUAGUGGAAUUUCCGGUGUAGCAGUGAAAUGCGUAGAGAUCGGAAGGAACAUCUGUGGCGAAGGCGACUAUCUGGGCCAACACUGACACUGAGGCACGAAAGCGUGGGGAGCAAACAGGAUUAGAAACCCCAGUAGUCCCUGUCUCUUAUAC